UGGUGGGUGGGGCAGAUGCCUAUAUAGUUGGGCAGGCUGCAGCAAGGUGCGUACGUCUUUGUUUCUCCCGCUCUUGCUGCGGUCGGUGGCUACAUGUCGACUCGUCUGCGAUCGUAAGUGACAGUUUUGCUAUCCGUGGCUGAGAUCAUGGUUGGUUUUUGGGUGCUACACUUGUCGUGCGUUUCUGUAGUGUUGCUCUGAUGGCGUUGCUGGCUGCAGCUGGGGGUUGCUGUGGCGGGCGGCUUCAAUCUGGUCCUCACCUGCUGACCCGCUUCCUCCCGGGUUAGGCUGUGUUUCCACCCCUGGGCACCUGAUUGUGUGUUUGGAGCUGCAGCGCUUUGGACUCUCUGCUGUCUUGUCUUCCCAUUGUUUGUUUGGGCCGCUCUCAACUAAACCUGUUGCUGGUUGGGCAGGCUGUGUGGGCGGGGCAUUACUCCUCUGGCCCC